rnacentral:ncRNA from 1 species
UCUUGGUAUCAGAAGGCGAUGAAGGGCGUGGAAGACUGCGAUAAGCCUGGGGGAGUUGUCAAACGAACGUUGAUCCCGGGAUUCCUGAAUGACUUACGUUGAAUACAUAGGCGUAAGUGGCUAACCCAGAGAACUGAAACAUCUCAGUACCUGGAGGAAGAGAAAGAAAACUCGAUUUCGUCAGUAGCGGCGAGCGAAAGCGAAAUAGCCCAAACCGUGGGGAUUUUCCUCACGGGGUUGUAGGGUCUCUCACAUGGGAGUUACAAAGCAAUCUGCUAGUUGAACGACAUGGAAAGGUCGGCCACAGACGGUGACAGCCCGGUAAACGAAAGCGGAAUUGCCUCCCGAGAGAUACCUGAGUAGGUUCAGGCACGUGAAACCUGGACUGAAUCCACGGGGACCAUCCCGUAAGGCUAAAUACUCUCUGAUAACCGAUAGCGAACUCAGUAUGGCGACUGAAAGAUGAGAAGAACCCCUGUUNNNNN